CAGUAGCCACGGGAAUACGUAGGUGGCAAGCGUUGCCCGGAAUUAUUGGGCGUAAAGGGCUCGCAGGCGGUUUCUUAAGUCUGAUGUGAAAGCCCCCGGCUCAACCGGGGAGGGUCAUUGGAAACUGGGAAACUUGAGUGCAGAAGAGGAGAGUGGAAUUCCACGUGUAGCGGUGAAAUGCGUAGAGAUGUGGAGGAACACCAGUGGCGAAGGCGACUCUCUGGUCUGUAACUGACGCUGAGGAGCGAAAGCGUGGGGAGCGAACAGGAUUAGAUACCCCCGUAGUCCCUGUCUCUUAUAU
rnacentral:rRNA from 1 species